AAAUAUAUCUUAUGGUGAAAAUGCCCGGAGCAAGAAGGCAAAGCAUCAUGAAGAGGAUAUUGGGAGCUCUGCUGGGGCUCUUGAGUGCCCAGGUUUGCUGUGAGUUGGGGCUGUCCAAGGUGGGAAUCUGAAAGGAUUUAGCAGCUGCAGCCUUGUUGAGGGGAGGAAGGGCAAGGAGUUAAAAAGUCAUGCAGUCUUUCUAUUCACACAACCUGUGGGGGCAUUUUCAGGAUUCUUCAGAUGUUAAACUGCCCAUCACCUAUGACUUUUUCUCCAUUUCUGACCAGGUGUGAGAGGAAUACAAGUGGAGCAGAGUCCUCCAGACCUGAUUCUCCAGGAGGGAGCCAAUUCCACGCUGCGGUGCAAUUUUUCUGACUCUGUGAACAAUUUGCAGUGGUUUCAUCAAAACCCUUGGGGACAGCUCAUCAACCUGUUUUACAUUCCCUCAGGGACAAAACAGAAUGGAAGAUUAAGCGCCACGACUGUCGCUACGGAACGCUACAGCUUAUUGUACAUUUCCUCUUCCCAGACCACAGACUCAGGCGUUUAUUUCUGUGCUGUGGAGCCACAGUGCUCCCCAGGCACCUGCGGCCUGUACACAAACCCUCAUCCGGGCUCGGUUCCUCUACCAGUAACAACCACAUCACGAGGCCACCGCAGCAGCAUUUUGCACAGCUUAAUAUUCCUUUUGUACAUAGGUAGAGUUUUAACCGUAGAUUCUUUUUGGCUCUACAGGUUUGAGACUUUGGUCUUUAUUUUCCCUUUUCAAUACACACCUCCUCCUACCCUAUAAAUAUCUAACUUGGAAGGAGUAGAGUAGCUGAUAAGAGGACAGAAUCAAAAUAAAUAUUUAAGUGACAGUAUGCAGGACUCCAAAAGGGUAAAAAGUAAAAAGAAUAAAAAGAAAAGAAACACCAUUCCAAUAAGCAUGUUGUUAGACAUUAGUUAGACAGUGAUCCAGCUUAGUUGUGUGUCUCAAGCACAUUCAGGUCUACCUCACCACAUUAUGUACCAACAGACAAGGGCAAAUAUUUGCAUACUAUCCCACUAGUGCAGCAAAGUAAAAUUUCUUUAAAUAUUCACAUAUUGAUAAAUAGCUGUGGAGAAAAAACUUUAAAAUGUUAUGUUCCCAUAUGUGUUUUUCAGGCUUGUUGUAUAACCUAGAAUAUGAUCUAUCCUGGAAAAUAUAACCAUGCAUGAUUGAGAAGAAUGUGUAAUCUGAUCUUGGGUAGAUAGAUGUCUGUUAGGUCUACCUGGCUUUUGUGUUGUUCAAGUCUUCUAUUUCCUUGUUGGUAUUCUAUUUGUCCUAUCUAUUAUUGAAAGUGAGGUAUUGAGUCUUCACCUGUUAUUCUUGAAUUUUCUGUUUUUCCCUUCAAUUCUGUCAGUUUUUGUGCAUCAUGUAUUUUGGGAUAUGUCAUUAGGUGCAUAUAUGUUUAUAACUGAU
rnacentral:lncRNA from 1 species